rnacentral:rRNA from 1 species
GGAUCAAUAUUUCGGUCAUGCCGUUGGUAUGCACUGUUAUCAUUGAUUUCUCACCUUCUAAAGAACCGUAAUGCCAUUAAUUUGGUGUCACGGGGAAUUAGGACUGUUACCUUGAAAAAAUUAGAGUGUUUAAAGCAGGCUCACGCUUGAAUACAUUAGCAUGGAAUAAUGAAAUAGGACAUCCGAUUCUAUUUUGUUGGUUUCUAGGAUCGAUGUA